AUAUGUCUCACUCUUCCUGUACAUAUGUUGAACAUGAAAGAGGUAAUCUCUUCCUGCAAACUAGAACCAACAAACAAAAAGUUAAACAUGAAAGAGGUAAUCAGAUUUCAAAAUUCAAAUGGAUUCGAACACCCGCCUCUAAAUUCCCCCUUCAUUCUCAAAUGACAAAAACCCUAAUCAGAUUUCAAAAUGCAGGUCUCUUUCUUUCAUUGUUCUCUUUCAUCACCCUAUUUUUCCUGCUCUGUGCCUUAUGAAUCAGUUGUUACAUGAUUCAAAUUCAAUAUUUCCCCAUUCCUUUAUUCAUGAUUCGAUCGAAACUGAAUCAAAGGUUUGCGAUGGAACAACGGUGGUGGAACCUUUGAAGAUCGACUGUGACGGCGGUAGUUAGGGUUCCAGCUGUGAAACCCACUUUCCAGGGGUUAAUCUUUGAUGUUCAUCAUUAGGGUUUCCGUCGGUAUUCAACUUCAAUUUACGAUUCUAUUGUUUCACUGAAAUUGAAAUUUUGUUUGGUUUUCUGUGAUGGCUAUGAAAGGAGGGUCAAGAAGGUUGUGUCUUCUUUAGCAGAUUUUGAAUUUUGCGCACAACAAAUCAGACAUUCAUGCCUUCAUUGAGAAAUUUGGAGACAACGGGUUAAGGUCACUUGCUAUAGCAUACUACCAGGAAGUUCGAGAGAGACCUAAAGGGAGUCCUGGAGGACUGUGGCAGUUUAUUGGGCUAAUGUCGCUCUGUCAUCCGCCACGUCAUGAUAGUGCUGACACGAUUCAAAGGGGGUUUGAAUCUUGGGGUAAAUGUGAAAAUGAAGAAUACCCUGCAUCUGACUUCUUGGACUACCACAGGGUGUGUACUUUUGCAGUAAAAAACAAAUCGAUCAUGUGCUUAUCCAUAAUGCCGUCACUAAUUCCUAUCCAAACUUUGACUAAUAAUGGCACUUCACUUUUGUUUUCAAGGACGUCCGCCCCUAUAUUUCAAUAAUGUCUUGCUCAAAAGUGCAUAGGGGCUGGGGGUGUUGCAGAGGCUGGGAAAUGAUAUCUACUAGCUUUAAGCUUUUACCUUUUGAAAUCAUCAUCUUUAAGAUCAGCCGACAUGAUCUGGAACCAUAUUUGUGAUGCAGAUUGAGUCUCAUGACUACAUGGCUAAACUUUUCCAUUCAUUCAUCCGGUUUAAUAACAUCUUACUUGAUUUCAAUAGAGACAUAUGGGGCUAUAUCUCUGUCGGCUACUUCAAGCAGGUGCACGUUUAACGAGAUUUUAAGAAGUAAGCAAUCGUUAAUAACUAUUUGAUUCUGACGUUGUAAAAGCUUGUGUUAUGUAGUUAACUAAGCCGGUGAAAUUGGAUCAUCAACAAUGCCUCACAAAGUCAACCCCAUUGACUUUGAAAACAGUUAAGGCAAUCUCGGGAUAUCUAAUGCGGUUUUCGAUCAUUUAAGCAUUAACUUGCCUAUUUUAUAAUUUAAACAUAAUUGUGUUAUAUACAUUUGUGUUUUUAUAAUUGAGCUUUAAUUCUAAAAUAUUAAUUUGCCAAAUAAAUAAAUUUGGGUUGAAUGGGUCGGGUUUGGGUCAACCGGUGAAUAUUCGGGUUGUGUUCGGGUUCAUAUGUAUGACAUGAUUUUCGGGUUCGGGUCGUGUUCGUCUAAAAUUUUCGGGUUUGGGUUGUGUUGGGUUGAACUCGCCAACCCGCGAACACGACCCGUAACACCCCUAUAAUGCCAUCAUUUAAGGUCUCGCAGGAACCGGGUCCCUUCGAGUUGCAGAAGCACUGAUCGAGAGAUACUUUAUCGAAGUAAAAGUUCUAUUAUCAUCUCCAACUUGGGCUGCAAGUAUGUCAUGCUAUAUAUUGUUAACUUCUCAAUGUUUUAUGAAUAAUCAUGUGAAGUACUUUGCUUAGAAUUUCGGCAAUAUCACACUUUCUUUUUUUCUUCUA